CCAGGAAGUUUGUCUCAGGCUCAGCUGGAAGGAAGGAACGGUUGCGAACUACCAAGGUAAACAAGCUCUGUUGACCUCUGUUGAAUUAUUUUUACGGUCGCAAGCGCUGAUCACCAUGUCACUGCAGGGAGAUCCAGUAUAGGACAUGCUCGCAGCGUUACGCCUGGCAGUAGUGGCAGUCCCGAUGGGUGUACUGCUGUCCCGGACCAUGGCGUGGAUGUCCAGUGGCAAAACACACCCAGAACUCAUCAGCAGGCUCAGGGGUAAUGAUCACGGGGUGAUUCGCAGCGACCGAGUGUUUGAUGCCAUGCUGGCUACAGACAGAGGGCUCUAUUCUAUAGACUAUCCUUAUGCAGACUCUCCUCAAUCCAUAGGCUACAUGGCGACCAUCAGUGCACCACACAUGCAUGCUCAUGCUUUGGAGCUGUUAAGUGACAAACUAACUGAAGGGGCAUCGGCACUGGAUGUGGGUUCAGGAAGUGGAUAUCUCACUGCCUGCUUUGCAAGGAUGACAGGACCCAGUGGUAGAGUGGUUGGCAUUGAACACAUCGAUGAACUGGUUCAAAUGUCAAUAAAAAAUGUGCAAGCUGACGACCCAGAACUGCUCACCUCUGGACGCAUCAAACUUGUAGUGGGAGAUGGAAGGCUUGGCCACCCAGACGGUGCCCCGUACGAUGCCAUUCAUGUUGGUGCAGCUGCAGCUACUAUUCCUAAGGCUCUUUUGGAGCAGCUGAAGCCUGGUGGCCGGUUGAUUCUCCCAGUGGGCCCUGACGGUGGCAGUCAGGUGCUAGAACAGUACGAUCGGCAGAUCGAUGGGACGUUUCUCAAGAAAGCUUUGAUGGGAGUGGUUUACGUCCCCCUGACUGACAAGAGGCGUCAGUGGCCUGGGUAUUGCACGAAAACACUCCUAACCUAUCUUUUUUAAACCAAAAUCAAUAAAGGAAAACCACUUAAUGUACUGACAAACCUCCAUCAGGUGCCUCUGUAAUCUUCAAGGUGAGCUCUGACUGCAGUGUGGUUGCCCCCACAGGAGAUGGCGUUGGUGCUGCAUCUCCACAGCCCCGUAGCACUCCUCAUGGUUUCACUGUGCUCCAGUCUUAACAGCCACCUGCCCUGCUGGGUUGUCACCUAGCAACGUACAAGGAGGAUCUCGCUCUGUCUGCCCGACCAGAUUGUCUUCCAAGAGUGAUAAAACAUUGAGUGACCACCGCUGGACUGAUGACAUUACUCACAGAAUACUUUGAGUCAGGUAGAGAGAGUGGUAAGGAUAUUGUGGAUGUCAUAAAAAAGUUGUCUGAGAUCUAAGUGAUUCACUGUAUUCAUUUUGGGUAAGUCAGUGAAGUUCAGCCACGAGACAAAUUCAAUUACAGCUUAAGAAGCUACAGUAUGUGUUCUUCUGGAUGCUUGUGGGAAAUUCAGAUGAGAUAAUCUAAUGGGAAUGCUUUGGCUAUGAAUGCUGUAACACAUAAAGACAAAUGCAAGUACAAGCCAAGGAAGUUAAAUGAAAAUCCAGCAAAUUAACAAAGUAAUAUGUUGUGUUAAAAACUUACUGGCUUCAUAUACUGUAUGUUUAGGAUAAUUCCUGUUUGACAUUUAGCCGGACUUAUUUUAUUUUAGUUUUUUGAAACUACCUGUCUACAGCUAUUGAACGAUGUGUACACUUUUAAGAUUUAUUAAUAAAACCUACUAAAUUGGUA